GCGAGCUGGACGGCCGCGCUUCUGGCGCAUAUGCGUCCAGAAGUGAGGAAAGUCCGGGCUUUGUAGGGCAGGAUGCCGGCUAACGGCCGGGCGGGGCGACCCGACGGAUCAGUGUCACAGAAAAGAAAACUCCCCACGCCACUUUGGCGCGGAGAAAAGCUGAAACGGUGUGGUAAGAGCGCACCAGCGUUGCGGCAACGCAGCGGCUUGACAAACCCCAUCCAAAGCAAGGGCAAAUAGGGGUGCCAUGGGUUGGCCCGACUCGCACCCGGGUUGCUCGCUUGAGGGUAUCGGCAACGAUACUCCUAGAUAAAUGGUCGUCUUAAAAGACAGAACCCGGCUUAUAGGCUCGCUC
rnacentral:RNase_P_RNA from 1 species